rnacentral:snRNA from 1 species
GUGCUCACUUCAGCAGCACAUAUACUAAAAUUGGAACGAUACAGAGAAGAUUAGCAUGGCCCCUGUGCAAGGAUGACACACAAAUUCGUGAAGCGUUAUUUAAAAAA